rnacentral:rRNA from 1 species
UACAGAGGUCUCAAGCGUUGUUCGGAUUUACUGGGCGUAAAGGGCGCGUAGGCGGUCAGCACAAGUCAGUUGUGAAAUCUCCGGGCUUAACUCGGAAAGGUCAACUGAUACUGUGCGACUAGAGUGCAGAAGGGGCAACUGGAAUUCUCGGUGUAGCGGUGAAAUGCGUAGAUAUCGAGAGGAACACCUGCGGCGAAGGCGGGUUGCUGAGCUGACACUGACGCUGAUGCGCGAAAGCCAGGGGAGCGAACGGG